rnacentral:rRNA from 1 species
AAAACAUUCGUACUCCAACCCUUUGUGACUACCUGUUUUCGUUGCUUCGGCAGGUGAAGGCGGAUGGCCUCCGGGCCUCCCGCCGCCGCCGGGUCCGGGAAACCGGCCGGGUGGGCCUGCCGGAGGGCACAGACUCUUGUAUUAAACGUACCUCUCUGAGUUAUCUUUUACAAACAAGUAAAAACUUUCAACAACGGAUCUCUUGGUUCUGGCAUCGAUGAAGAACGCAGCGAAAUGCGAUAAGUAAUGUGAAUUGCAGAAUUCAGUGAAUCAUCGAAUCUUUGAACGCACAUUGCGCCCGCCAGUAUUCUGGCGGGCAUGCCUGUCCGAGCGUCAUUUCAACCCUCAGGCCCUGGUUGCCUGGUGUUGGGGCGCCGCGCACCCCUAGCGGGCGCGGGCCCCGAAAGUCAGUGGCGGGCUCGCCAGGACUCCGAGCGCAGUAAUAUUGCCUCGCUGCGGAGCGCCUGGUGGGUUACCCAGCCGUAAAACACCCCAAAUUCUAAAGGUUGACCUCGGAUCAAGUAGGAAUACCCGCUGAACUUAAGCAUAUCAAUAAGCGGAGGAA